AAGGUCCUGGCAACACAGUGGUAGCUGCACUCAUUGUAAGUCUUUAGUAGCAGCUGUUGCUUGUGUUCUCUCUAAACAUUUUAAGCCUAAGAACAGACACAAAGACUGAGCUCUGGGCCCAUGAUCCUGGUUUGUCCAUGAAGUAUGAGGCUGGUGACUGGGGUAACGGUGUUUAUGACCUUGGGGUCUAUGAUUGAUGCUCAGACCACCCAGCCAAACUCCACGGACUGUGCUGAAGGAGAAGACGUAAAGCUGCCUUGUAACCACUCUACCAUCAGUGGAGAUGACUAUAUACAUUGGUAUCGGCAAAAUCCCAAUCAGAGUCCACAGUAUAUCAUUCAUGGCUUGCAAAGCACUGUGAACAACAGUAUGGCCUCUUUGACCAUAGCUACAGACAGAAGGUCCAGCACCUUGAUCCUGUCCCAGGUUACACUGAGAGACACUGCUGUGUACUACUGCAUCCUGAGAAAGGCACAGUGGGACAGAUGGGGCUGCACCUGUGCGAUAUCUCUCUGGUGACAAGGAUGGGGGUGGAGGAGGGCAGCAUCAAUGAGAGCAUAUCUAGAGCCAUCUAGAGUGAGAGUCCAAGAAGAAAAGAGGAAAAGGAGGAGGAGGAAAGGGUGAGA